GUCAAUUUAUUGAUGUCUAAGGAAAGCAACGGGGGGACCCCCACCGAUCUUCACUUAUCUGAUUAAUUUGGAAGAUUGAGUCUUGAAUAAGAUUGCUUGGCAUUUUGGUUUAGCCCAUACCAAUUAGAUCAGUCAUAUGAUAACUGAUUAGAUGAGAUCUAAAGGUAAACCUCUCCAUAAAUAUUAAGUCCAUAGGUCUUCCACUAUUGUAG
rnacentral:lncRNA from 1 species